GACGAACGCUGGCGGCGUGCCUAAUACAUGCAAGUAGAACGCUGAAGGAGGAGCUUGCUCUUCUGGAUGAGUUGCGAACGGGUGAGUAACGCGUAGGUAACCUGCCUGGUAGCGGGGGAUAACUAUUGGAAACGAUAGCUAAUACCGCAUAAGAGUAGAUGUUGCAUGACAUUUGCUUAAAAGGUGCAAUUGCAUCACUACCAGAUGGACCUGCGUUGUAUUAGCUAGUUGGUGGGGUAACGGCUCACCAAGGCGACGAUACAUAGCCGACCUGAGAGGGUGAUCGGCCACACUGGGACUGAGACACGGCCCAGACUCCUACGGGAGGCAGCAGUAGGGAAUCUUCGGCAAUGGACGGAAGUCUGACCGAGCAACGCCGCGUGAGUGAAGAAGGUUUUCGGAUCGUAAAGCUCUGUUGUAAGAGAAGAACAAGUGUGAGAGUGGAAAGUUCACACUGUGACGGUAUCUUACCAGAAAGGGACGGCUAACUACGUG
rnacentral:rRNA from 1 species